GCGCGGGUAGCUCAGCGGUAGAGCAGUUGGCUUUUAACCAAUUGGCCGAGGGUUCGAUCCCCUCCCCGCGUA
rnacentral:tRNA from 1 species